rnacentral:rRNA from 1 species
ACGCUCGACACCUACGGGAGGCAGCAGUGGGGAAUAUUGCACAAUGGGGGAAACCCUGAUGCAGCGACGCCGCGUGAGCGAAGAAGUAUUUCGGUAUGUAAAGCUCUAUCAGCAGGGAAGAUAAUGACGGUACCUGACUAAGAAGCUCCGGCUAAAUACGUGCCAGCAGCCGAGGUAAUCUGAGGCGGGCUGGCAAGGC